AUGAACCUGAGAGUUUGAUCCUGGCUCAGAGCGAACGCUGGCGGCAUGCUUAACACAUGCAAGUCGCACGGGCAGCAAUGUCAGUGGCGGACGGGUGAGUAACGCGUAGGAACGUAUCUUGUG
rnacentral:rRNA from 1 species